UACGGGGGGGGCAAGCGUUGUUCGGAAUUACUGGGCGUAAAGGGCGCGUAGGCGGCCUUCUAAGUCGAACGUGAAAUCCCCGGGCUCAACCCGGGAACUGCGUCCGAUACUGGGAGGCUUGAAUCCGGGAGAGGGAUGUGGAAUUCCAGGUGUAGCGGUGAAAUGCGUAGAUAUCUGGAGGAAUACCGGUGGCGAAGGCGGCAUCCUGGACCGAGAUUGACACUGAAAAGCGAAAGCCAGGGGAGCAAACGGG
rnacentral:rRNA from 1 species